GACGAACGCUGGCGGCGUGCCUAAUACAUGCAAGUCGAGCGCAGGAAGCUCACGGAACUCUUCGGAGGGAAGUGAAGGGAAUGAGCGGCGGACGGGUGAGUAACACGUAAGGAACCUGCCCCAAGGAUUGGGAUAACUCCGAGAAAUCGGAGCUAAUACCGAAUAGUUCUUCAGACCGCAUGGUCUGAUGAUGAAAGGCGCUUCGGUGUCACCUUGGGAUGGCCUUGCGGUGCAUUAGCUAGUUGGUGGGGUAAUGGCCCACCAAGGCGACGGGGCAAAGCCGACCGGAGAGGGGGAUCGGCCACACUGGGACUGAGACAAGGCCCAGACUCCUACGGGAGGCAGCAGUAGGGAAUCUUCCACAAUGGACGAAAGUCUGAUGGAGCAACGCCGCGUGAGUGAUGAAGGUUUUCGGAUCGUAAAACUCUGUUGUAAGGGAAGAACAGGUAUGAGAGGUAAUGCUCAUGCUAUGACGGUACUUUACGAGAAAGCCACGGCUAACUACGUGCCAGCAGCCGCGGUAACAC
rnacentral:rRNA from 1 species